UAGGGAAUCUUCGGCAAUGGACGAAAGUCUGACCGAGCAACGCCGCGCGAGUGAAGAAGGUUUUCGGAUCGUAAAACUCUGUUGUUAGAGAAGAACAAGGACGUUAGUAACUGAACGUCCCCUGACGGUAUCUAACCAGAAAGCCACGGCUAACUACGUGCCAGCAGCCGCGGUAAUACGUAGGUGGCAAGCGUUGUCCGGAUUUAUUGGGCGUAAAGCGAGCGCAGGCGGUUUCUUAAGUCUGAUGUGAAAGCCCCCGGCUCAACCGGGGAGGGUCAAUGGAGACUGGGUGACUUGAGUUCAGGAGAGGAGGGUGGAAUUCCAUGUGUAGCGGUGAAAUGCGUAGAUAUAUGGAGGAACACCAGUGGCGAAGGCGGCUCUCUGGUCUGUAACUGACGCUGAGGCUCGAAAGCGGGGGGAGCAAACAGG
rnacentral:rRNA from 1 species